rnacentral:rRNA from 1 species
UACGUAGGGCGCAAGCGUUGUCCGGAAUCAUUGGGCGUAAAGCGCGCGUAGGUGGCUUCGUAAGUCCGUUGUGAAAGUCAAGGGCUCAACCUUUGAAUGCCGAUGGAUACUGCGAAGCUAGAGUACGGAAGAGGCGAGUGGAAUUCCUGGUGUAGCGGUGAAAUGCGCAGAUAUCAGGAGGAACACCGGUGGCGAAGGCGGGUCUCUGGGCCGAUACUGACGCUGAGGAGCGAAAGCGUGGGGAGCGAACAGG